AAUGCCAUGUCACCCUUCUGACA
rnacentral:piRNA from 1 species